UUGGAGGGCAAGUCUGGUGCCAGCAGCCGCGGUAAUUCCAGCUCCAAUAGCGUAUAUUAAAGUUGUUGCAGUUAAAAAGCUCGUAGUUGAAUUUCGAGAUCAAAUUGUUGGUCGUGCCUCGGUACGUACUGGCAUUAUUGAUUUCUCCCUUCUGAAGAACCUUGAUGUCAUUAAUUUGGUAUCUUGGGGAAUCAGGACCGUUACUUUGAAAAAAUUAGAGUGUUUAAAGCAGGCUCACGCUUGAAUACAUUAGCAUGGAAUAAUGGAAUAGGACGUUUGAUUCUAUUUUGUUGGUUUCUAGGAUCGACGUAAUGAUUAAUAGGGAUAGUUGGGGGCAUUAGUAUUCAAUUGUCAGAGGUGAAAUUCUUGGAUUUAUUGAAGACUAACUACUGCGAAAGCAUUUGCCAAGGAUGUUUUCAUUAAUCAAGAACGAAAGUUAGGGGAUCGAAGACGAUCAGAUACCGUCGUAGUCUUAACCAUAAACCAUGCCGACUAGGAAUCAGACGAUGUUAAUUUUUUAAUGACUCGUUUGGCACCUUACGGGAAACCAAAGUGUUUGGGUUC
rnacentral:rRNA from 1 species